rnacentral:rRNA from 1 species
UACGAAGGGGGCUAGCGUUGUUCGGAAUUACUGGGCGUAAAGCGCACGUAGGCGGAUUGUUAAGUCGGGGGUGAAAUCCCGGGGCUCAACCCCGGAACUGCCUUCGAUACUGGCGAUCUCGAGUCCGGAAGAGGUUAGUGGAAUUCCCAGUGUAGAGGUGAAAUUCGUAGAUAUUGGGAAGAACACCAGUGGCGAAGGCGGCUAACUGGUCCGGUACUGACGCUGAGGCGCGAAAGCUAGGGGAGCAAACGGG